rnacentral:lncRNA from 13 species
CCCCAGCCCACACUCAGUUGCUGCCAUGGACGAGGUGGAAUUUCCUCUCUGUGUUCCUCCAGGGUCAGAGAGUUACCAGGGCCAGCCCUGCCCAGUGGGCCACUACUGCCCUGCAGGGACUCGAAGCCCCAGGCCCUGCCCAGCAGGGACCUUCAGAAGCAGCAGCGGAGCCAGGGCAGCUGAAGAGUGCCAGGGGUGCCCUGUGGACACCUUCACUUCCCUGCCUGGCCAGUCGGGCUGCCUCACCUGCAGCAGUGCUGCUUUCUCUCCACCAGGUGCCUCUACCUGCACAUGUCGGGGCCUGAACAGGAUCUUCCAGAAGUCAGAUGGUUCCUGCAUCUGCCAAGCAGGACACGUGUCCUUCAACAACAGGGGCGUGGAAAGUGAAGAGGAGAGCAGCGGCCAUGAGGACUGCCAGCCCCAGGUGAGCCCCUGCAGCCUCUAGACCAGCAGGCUCAAGGGGAGGGGAAAGGAGAGGUCUGGGGGUGCGGGUGGGCUGUGCCCAGGCACUUUGGCUUAGGUGUUUGGUUUCUGCUUGGUCCUCUGAGCCAGGUGCAUUACUCUUUGCCAGUGAGAAGGAAUUAAUGCCUUAACAUCUAACAGCAAUGCUGGCCUCACCAAGCAUCUUAGAGAGUAAUUCAUGAGUGUGCUCCCGCUGCUGCCUGUGCAAAGCUCACUAGACUCUGAGGAGUCCUAUGGAGCAGCCUAUGGGAUGCUGAAGCUGCAGGUGGGCUCACUCCCUGUGGGCAGUCUCCCCUGGGAGGGGGGUGACCUUGCCCUGUGCCCAUGCCUGGGGCAGCCGGCAGGAAGGGCCACAUUCCACGUGGCUGGGAGGCCAGCAGAGGAGUACAGAGACCCUUCCCAGGCAUACAGCAGCAUCAGAGACCCUCCUUUCACGACUGGAGGCUCUGGAGCUCAUUGCUUUUGAAAAGACAGCAACUUCUUUAGAGGGAGCCAUUUUAUCCAAUCAGCCAUUUGGUGCAGAAAGCCUUGUGCAGGCCCACAGCUCAGCCAGCCCCUCCUGGACAGAGCACAGCCCGCUAUCCCCCUUACACCCGCUACCCACCAACUGCAGGCCCCACUUCAGACAGCUCAUGCCUGUUCAGAGGUUUGGCCUUUGAACCUAAAUCUCCAGUUACUGGUCAGUUCCAAUCCCACAUUUCAACCACAGAAUCACAACCCCAAGUCCAGCCUGGCCCCCUCGGUCGUGUCUCGUGUCUCGGAAGCCUCAGGUAUUUUCUGCCUACCCCCCUCAUUUGCAUUCUGAUUAGGCAGCUCUACCUUCCCCUGGGGACCCAGCCUCUGGGAGGGGGCAAAACUAAGGGGAUGUGCCCUACUGCUUCAUCUGUGCCACGGAGAGGCUGUUGCCAGCCUCUGGCUGCGGCCCCUCCACUUCCUCCGGCCCUGGCUGGUGUCCAGCACCCUCGGGGCCCUAACUCACCUGG